rnacentral:rRNA from 1 species
UACGGAGGGUGCAAGCGUUGUUCGGAAUUAUUGGGCGUAAAGCGCGUGUAGGCGGUUCGUUAAGUCUGAUGUGAAAGCCCUGGGCUUAACCUGGGAAGUGCAUUGGAAACUGGCGAACUUGAGUAUGGGAGAGGAAAGUGGAAUUCCGAGUGUAGGGGUGAAAUCCGUAGAUAUUCGGAGGAACACCGGUGGCGAAGGCGGCUUCCUGGCAUGUAACUGACACUCAUGUUCGAAAGCGUGGGUAGCAAACAGGAUUAGAAACCCCGGUAGU